AUUGAUUUUAAAGGGGCAGGAAAUGACAUAUUUCCCCUAUGCAAAAAAAAAAAAAAAAAAGCGAUAGAUAGGCUAGAUACAUAAUCGCACGGGCGGACAGAGAGAGAGGGAGUAUUAAUAUUAUUAAUUAUACAAGUAUGUUAUAUGAUAAGUACACUGACUGAAAAAAACUUUUCCUGCAUGAGACAAUACAAUAAUAUGCCAGUCCACACACACAGGGGAUCCAUAUAGUGCCUUUCAAAAAACAAUUGCCCUGAUGAAAGCAUUUUAUUAGAUGGGCUGUAGUGAAAACAUCGGAUUCGGACAGGCCUUGAUGGCUUCCUAACCGUGAAGGCAGCAUAGCUCAGGAUUCAGACACAGCCUGGGUGUAUGCUGUCAUCGAGAAAGUGACAACCACUGAUCCCUAGAAAAUCAGUGUAAUCUCUCAAGUAAACUUGUUUGUUUUGUGGUAAAUGUUAUUUUGGCAGCCAUAGCUAAGGGCUCUUACUCGCUUUAUUCCCGGGACAUAUCUUUCCGACUUGGGACCACGGCUUCUUAGGCACUUCUCUCAUUCAGAACAGUGAAGUCAAUGGAUCCUUACAUCACAGUUUGACAAGUUAGGAGGAUACAAGCUAAUCCCCUUAAUCUGUCUAUUCUCCCGUGCAGUGCCAAAGGGGGAGAGGUGCCCGGCACAAGUAAUCCUGUAGAAAAAAACAAUAGGAUUAGACCCCAGCUCUUGGAGUGACAAUCAGAUAUCUACUGACUGAUUUGCAAAGUAGGGUCGAGUUUCUUCAAAUUAGCUUUUUUCCCCCCUCCUCUAGGGAAAAGGUGCCUUUCAUUAACUGCUGGUGGGAUUCCUUUAGGACAGAUGCUGGAGGUCCGCAUGAAAGGCAUGUAUUCUUUGGUUCCAACACACAGGUCCUGGGCUUCUCCCACAGCAGAGGCUGAGAGGUGGGGACACACCAUUGGCCUGGGCGACCGCUCCACCCCUUUACCCUCUGUCAACCCCUUUAUAAUUCAAACACUAAUGCUUUUUAAAAGUGUUUGACAGAUGGAUCAGAUUCCUUUGCUUACUGAGGAUACAUGUAGCAGAUCAAUGAGGCUAAAUGAUGAGGGCAAUGUGAGAUGCGCUGCUUGUUCUUUUCAUUUGCAUGCAGCCAUGCAACCUGUUUUUUUCUCUUUUUUUCUGCAACAUUUAAUGAGAUGAAUGUCUUUUGGACAGUUGCUACUCUUUGAUACACUUUUACAGUGGAUACAUAUAAACCUAUAGAAAAUCAAUGUUUUACCGACAGAUAUAUACUACCAU